CGUACGAGCGCUCACAUGUCGUGUUGUAGCCUCUGUGCGACCUCCGGUGAUUCAUGUAGUGUCUUCGCCUCAAGUCGUUUACAAUAAGAGCUACUGCGUGGUUACCUAAACCUGAGCACACUCUCUGUACCAAUUGACCUCUUUAGUUGUGGUGCAGUCGGGGCAGUAGAAUUGCAAAGGUUGUUUUUUUGUUUUUUUCUCAAUGUUGUAAUGAGACAAGAAUUGAGAAGUCUACAACACAGGUAGCUACUAUGGUAGCAGGGGGGACUGAUGGAGACCAAAAGCAGGUCAUCUUCCUCCAGAGCUCCAUGCUGCAAUACGUAUCCCGCAAGCACUCCCUCAACCGUCCUCCGCUUUGGCCCACACCGGUAUCCCACAGGGGACAGCGAACCCCCUCCAGAGGAAGAGGAGGAGGAUGAACUGCUUCCUGAACCAACAGAUUUUGGACGACCCCCUGAGUGCCCAUCCUGAGCCCCAUAUGAUCCCACAGGUGACAGCGACUUGUUUUCUGCAGAGACUAGCAGGUUGUUGCCAUGGCGGAGCUGGAAGUGGAUGACCUCCAGGGCAGCCUUGACCUCAGCAGUCUCUCUUGUUUGUCCCGGACCACACUCAC